AAAAAAAAAAAAAAAGAAUUGGAUGGAAACUUCUCAGUGCUCAGCUCCAAAGUCUCUCUGCUUGGACACAGGCAAGCUGGUUGGGAGUCUGUGGCCUUGGCAGACUAGCUCCCCUUCAUCACAGAGCCGCAGGGAGGGGACAGAUGCGCCAGCAGACGUGCUUGAGCAGAGCCUGCCCAGGAAUCCCAGCACAGUGUUUGAGCAAGAAAGAGAGCGGCAAAGCGAGGAGAGAGGUGAGCAAAAGCCCUAAAGGGGCAUUUUAGACAAGAGGCCACGCGAAUCUUCGCAUGGCCAGGAAAGACAAAAGGAGCUCAACAUCACGGGUCAUGCGGGAAAUGCAAAUAAAACCACGGCGAGAUACCACUUCA